rnacentral:rRNA from 1 species
AUGGCGAUGGUGCUGGAUGCAUUUGUGUCCUACCUGGUGGACAUGCUCACGCAGGCAGCAAGAGAUGAGGUGAAGACUAUGUUGGGCGUCUCCGGCGAGAUCGACAAGAUGGGAGACAAGCUUCGAGACCUCAAGAACUUCCUGGCCGAUGCCGAUAGGAGGAACCUCACCGACGAGACUGUUCAAGAUUGGGUGGGGCAGCUCAAGCGUGCCAUGUAUGAAGCUACCGACAUCCUUGACCUCUGCCAACUCAAGGCCAUGAAGCAUGGAUCAUCCUCGGUUAAUGCAGGGUGUUUCAAUCCCUUGCUCUUCUGCAUGCGAAACCCUUUCCAUGCUCAUGAGAUCGGCACCCGCAUCAAGGCGCUCAACCAGAGGCUUGACGACAUCAAGGAACGGAGCGUUGCUUUAAACUUCAUCAAUCAUGGGUCCUAUGAGGAUCAUAGCAGCAACACCCAUGCCUCUCGCCAUGGUAAUCCAAGCCUCGGCCUCUGCAUCUGGGCGAUGCAUACGGCCACUUUAUUAAUUAUUGUCACAAGACCUAACAAAGUAAUACAGCAGUAA